rnacentral:rRNA from 1 species
AUUGAACGCUGGCGGCAAGGCUUAACACAUGCAAGUCGAACGAAGAAGAUAUAGCUUGCUAUAUCGGAUUAGUGGCGGACGGGUGAGUAACACUUACGAAUCUACCUUUUAGCGGGGGGAUAGCUCGGGGAAACUCGAAUUAAUACCGCAUAAUUUCUACGGAAUAAAAGAGGGCUUUUAGCUCUCACUAGAAGAUGAGCCUAAGUAAGAUUAGCUAGUUGGUGGGGUAAAAGCCUACCAAGGCGACGAUCUUUAGCUGGUCUGAGAGGAUGAUCAGCCACACUGGGACUGAGACACGGCCCAGACUCCUACGGGAGGCAGCAGUGGGGAAUAUUGGACAAUGGGGGCAACCCUGAUCCAGCCAUGCCGCGUGUGUGAAGAAGGCCUUUUGGUUGUAAAGCACUUUAAGCAGUGAAGAAGACCUAUUGGUUAAUACCCAAUAGCGAUGACAUUAACUGCAGAAUAAGCACCGGCUAACUCUGUGCCAGCAGCCGCGGUAAUACAGAGGGUGCAAGCGUUAAUCGGAAUUACUGGGCGUAAAGCGAGCGUAGGUGGUUAAAUAAGUCAGAUGUGAAAGCCCUGGGCUCAACCUAGGAACGGCAUCUGAAACUAUUUAACUAGAGUAGGUGAGAGGGAAGUAGAAUUUCAGGUGUAGCGGUGAAAUGCGUAGAGAUCUGAAGGAAUACCGAUGGCGAAGGCAGCUUCCUGGCAUCAUACUGACACUGAGGCUCGAAAGCGUGGGUAGCAAACAGG